rnacentral:rRNA from 3 species
UGAGGAAUAUUGGUCAAUGGGCGAGAGCCUGAACCAGCCAAGUAGCGUGCAGGAUGACGGCCCUAUGGGUUGUAAACUGCUUUUAUAUGGGAAUAAAGUGAGGGACGUGUCCCUUAUUGCAUGUACCAUACGAAUAAGGACCGGCUAAUUCCGUGCCAGCAGCCGCGGUAAUACGGAAGGUCCAGGCGUUAUCCGGAUUUAUUGGGUUUAAAGGGAGCGUAGGCUGUUUGUUAAGCGUGUUGUGAAAUGUAAGAGCUCAACUUUUAGAUUGCAGCGCGAACUGGCAGACUUGAGUGCGCACAACGUAGGCGGAAUUCAUGGUGUAGCGGUGAAAUGCUUAGAUAUCAUGACGAACUCCGAUUGCGAAGGCAGCUUACGGGAGCGCAACUGACGCUAAAGCUCGAAGGUGCGGGUAUCGAACAGG